rnacentral:rRNA from 1 species
AGUUGUGAGCGUCGCGGAAAAAAAAUUAAACAAAAAUAAAAAAAGAGGGGGCGAGGAAGAAACCGAAACACUCACACAGAACACCACACCCCCCACCCCGGCGACACACCACCCCUCCCACCCCAAAUCUCAGAUCAGAGCGCCGGGAGAUCUGCCAUUUCCGGGUGGAGGGAUCGAGCCCCGCGCUUCUCGAUUAAAUCCUGGGCUCUGUAUCUUGUGUGGAUGGCAUUUGUGCCUCAGAGACUCUAGCUCACCAAGUGUUGAUUUGAACCUGUGAAGAUAGAGAUGGGUUCUCCGAGAAAAUCCGACAAGAAGGCCGCCUUAGACUUUGCAGCAUGGGGUUUCAAUAUCACCUCAUCCGUUGGGAUCAUCAUGGUCAACAAAGCCUUAAUGGCUACACAUGGAUUCAGUUUUGCCACAACAUUAACUGGCCUUCAUUUAUUGACAACGACCUUGAUGACUAUUGUGUUUCGGUGGUUAGGCCUGAGCCAGCCCUCUCACUUACCGCUACCAGAUCUGAUUAAGUUUGUAAUCUUUUCAAAUUUGUCGAUCGUUGGCAUGAAUGUGAGCUUGAUGUGGAAUUCUGUGGGGUUUUAUCAGAUAGCAAAGCUGUGCAUGAUACCCGCAUCAUGUCUUCUGGAAGUUGUCUUUGAUCGUGUACAUUAUUCACGGGACACAAAGCUGAGCAUAAUGGUUGUACUUAUAGGCGUUGCAGUUUGCACUGUUACUGAUGUCAGUGUGAAUGCAAAAGGCAUGCUUGCAGCUGUUAUAGCUGUCUGGAGUACAGCUUUCCAACAAUAUUAUGUUCAUUAUCUGCAGCGGAAGUACUCUCUGAACUCAUUCAAUCUCCUAGGCCACACUGCUCCAGCCCAAGCAGGUUCCCUCCUGUUAGUAGGGCCCUUUGUGGAUUUCUUGUUGACUGGCAAAAGGGUGGAUCACUUCAAUUUCACAUCGCUUUCUCUGUUAUUCGUCGUACUCUCAUGCAUCAUCGCCAUCGGCGUUAAUCUGAGCCAGUUCAUCUGCAUCGGCCGGUUCUCUGCUGUAUCUUUCCAAGUCUUAGGCCACAUGAAGACUGUGCUGGUCCUCUUCCUUGGCUUUCUCUUCUUUGGCAAGGAGGGCCUGAACCUACACGUAGUCCUUGGGAUGAUCCUUGCUGUUCUUGGAAUGAUGUGGUAUGGGAACGCAUCAGCGAAGCCAGGCGGCAAAGAGCGUCGGAGUGUCCUCCCAGUGAGGUCCGACAGGCACAAUGGAGGUUCAGAAGACAAGGAUGGUGGUGAGAAGUGAUUUUUGCAAUUGGCAACUGCAGUGCGUGCAUAUUUUUUCCCUUGAGGUUUCUGGUGACACACAACACAUCGAAGGAAGACAGUCUGGUAUUGUUCUUGAUAGAGGUUACUACAGAAGCUGAACCUUACCCCACCUAGGAACUCGGCACCGUUCUCGUUAUAGGUUACAUACAUUACCGUCACAUUUUUUCGAUACAUUCAUAGUCACGAGAUGUUUUACAAGGUUUGAGUUGUGGAAUUGUGGUGAAGAAUGUUGGAAGUUAAGGCCUUGUUUUGAUCUUGUGGAAGUAUGGACUACACAUUAGGAUCAUUUCUGAAUUGUCAUUACUGAAUGAAAUUCAUUAUCGGGGUUUUAUAGACCAUAUUUCGCCCAAUCAUGUUAUUGUGUGUACUUGAUAUAUAUUUCCUGAUACACAGACGGUAGACAUCUCCCCCUCUUCUUUCUGGGAGUAGUAAACGUCGGUGUAUCAGUGUAUGCA